CCUACGGGAGGCAGCAGUAAGGAAUAUUGGUCAAUGGACGGAAGUCUGAACCAGCCAUGCCGCGUGCAGGAAGACGGCCCUACGGGUUGUAAACUGCUUUUGCAGGGGAAUAAACCCCGAUACGUGUAUCGGGCUGAAUGUACUCUGAGAAUAAGGAUCGGCUAACUCCGUGCCAGCAGCCGCGGUAAUACGGAGGAUCCAAGCGUUAUCCGGAUUUAUUGGGUUUAAAGGGUGCGUAGGUGGCCUGUUAAGUCAGGGGUGAAAGACGGUAGCUUAACUAUCGCAGUGCCCUUGAUACUGAUGGGCUUGAAUAAACUAGAGGUAGGCGGAAUGUGACAAGUAGCGGUGAAAUGCAUAGAUAUGUCACAGAACACCAAUUGCGAAGGCAGCUUACUAUGGUUUUAUUGACACUGAGGCACGAAAGCGUGGGGAUCAAACAGGAUUAGAUACCCUGGUAGUCCACGCCCUAAACGAUGAAUACUCGAUGUUGGCGAUAUACGGUCAGCGUCUAAGCGAAAGCGUUAAGUAUUCCACCUGGGGAGUACGCCCGCAAGGUGAAACUUAAAGGAAUUGACGGCUGAGAGNGCGAGAGACACGAGGAGAG
rnacentral:rRNA from 1 species